CUCUUUCCACCACUUCUGCUACGAGCACCACCAUAUCUAUCACCGUCAUCGCCACCGCAACCCUCAAUACCAACACCAUCUUCUCCAAUAUUAGAUAUUUCAGAUUCAAAAAAAUUCUGUCACUACCGACGUCUUUUACUCCGGCAGAGAACUUUCUCUCCUUUUAUUAAGAUGAAUAUUUGAUUCAGAUUUUGGAGUUCGAGAGAGAUUAAUAUUUUAAUUAUGCAUUUUAUUUUUUUGUAUUAGUUUCUGGUGGUGGUAGUGGUGGUGACGGUGAUUGAAUUUAUAAAGCUAGGGUUAGGGAUUUGAGCUAUUGGUGGUGGUGGUGGUGUGGUAACUAGUUAUGAUUUUGAUUUUUGUUGGAUACUUUGAACAUGGUUAUUAGUUUUAUUAAAGGCUCGAUUGCUUAAUACAACGUCGUCGAUUUUGAUUGCUCGAUCUAAGAAGUAACUAACAUUAUUAUGGUGUUUUAAACUUGAUUCAACCAUGCACUUGAGGUGGUGGUUUUGUUGGAAUGAUAAAAUUGGUGAUGGAAAGCCUGAAAUGUUGGCUAUGGUGGGGUUAAAAUGGUUCUGGUUAUUGUUGUUGUGGUGGUGGAGAUGUGUGAUUGUUGGUGGUGGUGGUGGUGGAGAUGUGUGAUUGUUGGUGGUGGUGGUGGUGAGGUUCAAAUGAUAAAUUAGUUACGAAAAUAGUGGUGGAUGGUGGUUCUGGUUGUUGUAAUUGUGGAAAUUGGAUGUGAAUUAUUGGUGGUUCGGGAGAUGGUGAUUGUGUGGUUUCUUCAGGAUACGUAAGAAAAGAGUUGCAGUGAUGUUUCGGCCGUGAAGCACUUUUAUUGUAAUCUCUAAACAACGUUUCGUGUGCUGCUUUAGAUACAAAUUUUUGUUGUAUUUUGAAAUAAAGAAAUGUAUUAUAUGAGUGAGGGUAUUAAUGUAAUCUAAUUUGUAAUGGAUAAAGUUUUUAAAUGAUAGGGGUAUAUUUAUUUUUGUAUAA